AGAGUUUGAUCCUGGCUCAGGAUGAACGCUGGCGGCGUGCUCAACACAUGCAAGUCGAACGAACCUUCGGGUUAGUGGCGGACGGGUGAGUAACGCGUGAGAAUCUGCCCUCAGGAGGGGGAUAACGGCUGGAAACGGCCGCUAAUACCCCAUAUGCCGAGAGGUGAAACGAGUUUUCGCCUGAGGAUGAGCUCGCGUCUGAUUAGCUAGUUGGUGAGGUAAUGGCUCACCAAGGCAUCGAUCAGUAGCUGGUCUGAGAGGAUGAUCAGCCACACUGGGACUGAGACACGGCCCAGACUCCUACGGGAGGCAGCAGUGGGGAAUUUUCCGCAAUGGGCGAAAGCCUGACGGAGCAACGCCGCGUGAGGGAUGAAGGCCUCUGGGCUGUAAACCUCUUUUCUCAAGGAAGAAGACCUGACGGUACUUGAGGAAUAAGCCACGGCUAAUUCCGUGCCAGCAGCCGCGGUAAUACGGGAGUGGCAAGCGUUAUCCGGAAUUAUUGGGCGUAAAGCGUCCGCAGGCGGCCUUUUAAGUCUGUUGUCAAAGCGUGGAGCUUAACUCCAUUUCGGCAAUGGAAACUGGGAGGCUUGAGUGUGGUAGGGGCAGAGGGAAUUCCCGGUGUAGCGGUGAAAUGCGUAGAUAUCGGGAAGAACACCAGUGGCGAAGGCGCUCUGCUGGGCCAUAACUGACGCUCAUGGACGAAAGCCAGGGGAGCGAAAGGGAUUAGAUACCCCUGUAGUCCUGGCCGUAAACGAUGAACACUAGGUGUCGGGGGAAUCGACCCCCUCGGUGUCGUAGCCAACGCGUUAAGUGUUCCGCCUGGGGAGUACGCACGCAAGUGUGAAACUCAAAGGAAUUGACGGGGGCCCGCACAAGCGGUGGAGUAUGUGGUUUAAUUCGAUGCAACGCGAAGAACCUUACCAGGGUUUGACAUCCUGCGAAUCCCUUGGAAACGAGGGAGUGCCUUCGGGAGCGCAGAGACAGGUGGUGCAUGGCUGUCGUCAGCUCGUGUCGUGAGAUGUUGGGUUAAGUCCCGCAACGAGCGCAACCCACGUCUUUAGUUGCCAGCAUUGAGUUGGGCACUCUAGAGAGACCGCCGGUGAUAAACCGGAGGAAGGUGUGGAUGACGUCAAGUCAUCAUGCCCCUUACAUCCUGGGCUACACACGUACUACAAUGCUACGGACAAAGGGCAGCAAACUCGCGAGAGCUAGCAAAUCCCAUAAACCGUGGCUCAGUUCAGAUCGGAGGCUGCAACUCGCCUACGUGAAGGAGGAAUCGCUAGUAAUCGCAGGUCAGCAUACUGCGGUGAAUACGUUCCCGGGCCUUGUACACACCGCCCGUCACACCAUGGAAGUUGGCCACGCCCGAAGCCGUUACUCCAACCC
rnacentral:rRNA from 1 species